AUUGAACGCUGGCGGCAUGCCUUACACAUGCAAGUCGAACGGCAGCGCGGACUUCGGUCUGGCGGCGAGUGGCGAACGGGUGAGUAAUACAUCGGAACGUACCCUGUUGUGGGGGAUAACUAGUCGAAAGAUUAGCUAAUACCGCAUACGACCUGAGGGUGAAAGUGGGGGACCGCAAGGCCUCACGCAGCAGGAGCGGCCGAUGUCUGAUUAGCUAGUUGGUGGGGUAAAGGCCCACCAAGGCGACGAUCAGUAGCUGGUCUGAGAGGACGAUCAGCCAGACUGGGACUGAGACACGGCCCAGACUCCUACGGGAGGCAGCAGUGGGGAAUUUUGGAAAAUGGGGGCAACCCUGAUCCAGCAAUGCCGCGUGUGUGAAGAAGGCCUUCGGGUUGUAAAGCACUUUUGUCCGGAAAGAAAUCGCGCUGGUUAAUACCUGGCGUGGAUGACGGUACCGGAAGUAUAAGCACCGGCUAACUACGUGCCAGCCGCCGCCGUAA
rnacentral:rRNA from 1 species